rnacentral:lncRNA from 1 species
UAGGGGGCUAGAAGACAAGAAAAGAAAAUGUAUCAAACUUGUAAAUUAAAUGAUGUAAUAAUUGGAUUGUAAUUUGGAAGUAAAAUGUAACUGAGAUGUGUUAAGUGAAUGCUUGUAAUAGCUAUUAGUUUUAUGUAUUUGAUGCUUCCUUAUGCAAUCUGGAUUGAUAUCCGUUCCUGGUUGGAACAUUCGUUGAUUGUUUGGAUUGCGACGCCUUGGACGUACUGGGGAGACUCUGUCUGCGUACAGGGGAAUU